rnacentral:ncRNA from 2 species
UUCUUAUCUAGAGAGGUGGAGGGACUGGCCCAUUGAAACCUCGGCAUCGGUUUUGUAAGCUAGAUAGUUUAGUUAUCAUAAGCUGUGCCAAUACCAGCGGGUGCACAAAGCACUUCGAAGGAUGAGAA